rnacentral:rRNA from 1 species
GCAUAUCAAUAAGCGGAGGAAAAGAAACCAACAGGGAUUGCCUCAGUAACGGCGAGUGAAGCGGCAACAGCUCAAAUUUGAAAUCUGGCCUUCCGGUCCGAGUUGUAAUUUGCAGAGGAUGCUUCGGGCGCGGUGCCUUCCAAGUCCCCUGGAACGGGGCGCCGGAGAGGGUGAGAGCCCCGUACGGUUGGCGGCCAAGCCUGUGUGAAGCUCCUUCGACGAGUCGAGUAGUUUGGGAAUGCUGCUCUAAGCGGGAGGUAGACCCCUUCUAAAGCUAAAUAUUGGCCAGAGACCGAUAGCGCACAAGUAGAGUGAUCGAAAGAUGAAAAGCACUUUGAAAAGAGGGUUAAACAGCACGUGAAAUUGUUGAAAGGGAAGCGCUUGCGACCAGACGUGCGCCGGGGUGCUCAGCGGGCGUUCUCGCCCGUGCACUCGCCCCGGUGCAGGCCAGCGUCGGUUUGGGCGGGGGGAUAAAGGCGCCUGGAAUGUGGCUCCCUCGGGAGUGUUAUAGCCAGGCGUGCCAUGCCUCCGCCCGGACCGAGGUACGCGUUCUGCAAGGACGCUGGCGUAAUGGUCCCCAGCGACCCGUCUUGAAACACGGACC